AAGCACUUAUGACCAGACUUGGACCCGGUGAAUCAUCCAGCGUUCUCGCUGGUGCACUUUGCCGGGCUCAGGCCAGCAUCAGUUUGCCCCGGGGGAUAAAGUCUGCUGGAACGUGGCUCUUCGGAGUGUUAUAGCCAGUGGUAAUACCCCCGCGGGGACCGAGGAACGCGUUCGCAAGGAUGCUGGCGUAAUGGUC
rnacentral:rRNA from 1 species